rnacentral:rRNA from 1 species
AGACGUCUACAUUAGAUACCCCCGUAGUCCCAGCCGUAAACUAUGCGCGUUAGGUGUAUCGGUGACCACGAGUCACCGAGGUGCCGAAGGGAAACCGUGAAACGUGCCGCCUGGGAAGUACGGUCGCAAGGCUGAAACUUAGAGGAAUUGGCGGGGAGCACCACAACGGGUGGAGCCUGCGGUUUAAUUGGACUCAACGCCGGGAAGCUCACCGGAUAAGACAGCGGAAUGAUUGCCGGGCUGAAGACUCUGCAUGACUAGCUG